GAAGCUCAGGAGGGAUAGCGCCUAGGAAAACACAUAGAUCGGAGCCGGCCGCGAGGAGAAAGAAAGAGCCAAGAGAUAUGUGUGAUGAAUAAUCUACAUGGAUCUUGGCUAGCUUUUGUGUUCUCCUCUGGAGGCGUGGUUCUGUCUAUCAAUCUGAAGCGCUAUCUAUCCUGAGCUCCAC